GGGCGUGUAGCUCAGUUGGCAGAGCGUUUCCUUAGCAUGGAAAAGGUCUUGAGUUCGAUUCUUAACUCGUCCA
rfam:Lodderomyces elongisporus NRRL YB-4239 supercont1.3 genomic scaffold, whole genome shotgun sequence.